rnacentral:rRNA from 1 species
CCAUCCUUUAAAGAGUGCGUAACAGCUCACUAGUCGAAUGACUCUGCGCCGAUAAUUUACCGGGGCUAAGUAUAUUACCGAAGCUAUGGAUUUACGCGUAAGCGUGAGUGGUAGGGGAGCGUUCUAUGUGCGGAGAAGCGGUACCGUAAGGAGCCGUGGAGCGCAUAGAAGAGAGAAUGCCGGUGUGAGUAGCGAAACGUGGGUGAGAAUCCCACGCACCGAAAACCCAAGGUUUCCAGAGGAAGGUUCGUCCGCUCUGGGUAAGUCGGGACCUAAGGCGAGGCCGAGAGGCGUAGUCGAUGGACAACAGGUAGAGAUUCCUGUACUUACGGUAUGAAUGAUGGAGUGACGGAGAAGGCUAGCGGAUCCUGCUGAUGGAAAUGCAGGUGCAAGCGAGGUAGCCGACAGCCAGGCAAAUCCGGCUGUCGAAAGGCAAAGGCGUGAGGCGUAUGGAAAGCUGCGGCAAGUACAGAAGUCCGUGAAGCCAGCUUCCAAGAAAAGCUUCUAGUGAUAAUCAUACAGUAACCCGUACCGAAAAUGGACACACAUGGGUGAGGAGAGAAUCCUAAGGUGAGCGAGAGAACUAUAGCUAAGGAACUCUGCAAAAUGACUCCGUAACUUAGGGAUAAGGAGUGCUCAUAGAGAUAUGAGCCGCAGUGAAACGGCCCAAGCGACUGUUUACCAAAAACACAGCUCUAUGCUAAGUCGAAAGACGACGUAUAUGGGGUGACGCCUGCCCGGUGCUGGAAGGUUAAGAGGAUGUGUCAGCGCAAGCGAAGCAUUGAAUUGAAGCCCCAGUAAACGGCGGCC